GAUGAACGCUAGCGGCAGGCUUAAUACAUGCAAGUCGAGGGGUAGCAAGAUUGUAGCAAUACAAUUGUUGACGACCGGCAAACGGGUGCGGAACACGUACACAACCUUCCUACAAGUGGGGAAUAGCCCAGAGAAAUUUGGAUUAAUACCCCGUAACAUAGCGAUGUGGCAUCACAUUGCUAUUAUAGCUUCGGCGCUUGUUGAUGGGUGUGCGGCUGAUUAGAUAGUUGGCGGGGUAAGGGCCCACCAAAUCUACGAUCAGUAGCUGAUGUGAGAGCAUGAUCAGCCACACGGGCACUGAGACACGGGCCCGACUCCUACGGGAGGCAGCAGUAAGGAAUUUUGGACAAUGGACGCAAGUCUGAUCCAGCCAUGCCGCGUGAAGGAUUAAGGUCCUCUGGAUUGUAAACUUCUUUUAUAAGGGACGAAAAAAGGUCUUUCUAGAUCGUCUGACGGUACCUUAUGAAUAAGCACCGGCUAACUCCGUGCCAGCCGCCGCCGUAAAAC
rnacentral:rRNA from 1 species